rnacentral:rRNA from 1 species
UACGUAGGGUGCGAGCGUUGUCCGGAAUUACUGGGCGUAAAGAGCUCGUAGGUGGUUUGUCGCGUUGUUCGUGAAAACUCACAACUCAAUUGUGGGCGUGCGGGCGAUACGGGCAGACUGGAGUACUGCAGGGGAGACUGGAAUUCCUGGUGUAGCGGUGGAAUGCGCAGAUAUGUGGAGGAACACCGAUGGCGAAGGCAGCCUCCUGGGCCGUAAUUGACGCUGAGGCGCGAAAGCGUGGGGAGCGAACAGG